GACGUAGGGCGCGAGCGUUGUCCGGAAUUAUUGGGCGUAAAGAGCUCGUAGGCGGCUUGUCACGUCGGGUGUGAAAGCUCGGGGCUUAACCCCGGGUCUGCAUUCGAUACGGGCUGGCUGGAGUGUGGUAGGGGAGAUCGGAAUUCCUGGUGUAGCGGUGAAAUGCGCAGAUAUCAGGAGGAACACCGGUGGCGAAGGCGGCGAUCUGGGAAGAUACUGACGCUGAGGUGCGAAAGCGUGGGGAGCAAACAGG
rnacentral:rRNA from 1 species